UAAGCAGUGAUAGUGUGUAUCGGUGUUAUUCUGUGCUUAUAACAUCUUCCGAAAGUAUUCACUGCUAAGUUAAUUUGAUAAAAUGGACAAUUGUGUUUCACUUUUUAUGUUGAGAAUCACAACAAUCCGAUUCCCUACAUUU